rnacentral:lncRNA from 1 species
CACGUCCCACCUUUCUCCUCUUUUUAAAACAACGUCGAACGUGUCUUAUCCGCGUAAGAGGAUAAAGAUAAGUGGUUACACAUUUGAAUUCAAAUCAAAUUUGAAUUCAAACGAAAACCAACUUAUUCCUAUCCUUUUGGGCGUGAGAAGAGAAGGGGCGUGGCUCUUUGUGCAUGAAAAAUAUUUCAUGAGAAACCUUUUCUCAUGUAAGUAAUGUGGCGCACAAAAUGGAUAAGGAUGAAGGGGCAAGUGAUAAGUUAUCCAUUCAAAUUCAAACAUGCUUUGAAUUUGAAUGGCUAACUAAUUAUUUUAUCCAUCCAUAUGGUGCACAAAUGAGGGCAUGGGGAAGGGUUUUGCGUGAGAAAAAUUUUACGAGAAGUUUCUUCUCGAGAAUUCAAAUGGGUGCAAGGAAGUUGGGUGUCGCAGGGAAUUUAAAACAAGAUGGUUUGAUUCAAAUUGAGCCAACCUAGUUUAAAAUAGGUUAAGCAUAAUUAGACCAGAUUAAACCCAACAUAAUUAGGCUUAAUUAGGCUCAAUAAAAUCCUAAUUAAAUCAGGAAUUAACUAAGCCUAACCCCUGAUCAAAUCAGGGACUAAACCACCUUAGCGAUUAGGUCAACAUUUAACCUAAUCGGGUCAAUCCAAACUGAAUCCAAUUCAAUUGGACUUGAUCCAAAAAUAAUUACUCAAUCAAAUUGAGUUAAUUAAUGAUCAAAUCACUAAUUAAACCUCUCAUAAAUAUUGAGUCCAAAUCCGAUGGGCAAUCAGGCAUCAGAGACCAUCGAUAUAAAAUCCU